UAUUUUCAAAGAAUGAAAGGACAUUUCAAUUUAUUAGUUAAAAGGGAACCAGGUUAGAAUCCUGGGCGGUACGGCCACUGUAUUUGGGGAGUUAUUUCCGUUUCAAAAGCCACUGGAAUAAUUGUUAGUUUUAGAAUUAAGACUAAUAUUUCUGGGAAGGCUGGAAAGAAGCUAUGAACCAUAAGUCAGGAUAUCUGCCUAAUGAGUUUUGUGUUA
rnacentral:ncRNA from 1 species